rnacentral:rRNA from 1 species
UACGUAGGUGGCAAGCGUUGUCCGGAUUUACUGGGCGUAAAGAGCGCGCAGGCGGUCGUUUAAGUCGAAUGUGAAAGCCCCCGGCUCAACUGGGGAGGGUCAUUCGAUACUGAUCGACUUGAAGGCAGGAGAGGGAAGUGGAAUUCCGGGUGUAGUGGUGAAAUGCGUAGAUAUCCGGAGGAACACCAGUGGCGAAGGCGACUUCCUGGCCUGUGCUUGACGCUGAGGCGCGAAAGCUGGGGGAGCAAACGGG